rnacentral:rRNA from 1 species
GGGAGUGAAAAAGAACCUGAAACCGUGUACGUACAAGCAGUGGGAGCACAGGUUUACCUGUGUGACUGCGUACCUUUUGUAUAAUGGGUCAGCGACUUAUAUUCUGUAGCAAGGUUAACCGUAUAGGGGAGCCGYAGKGAAACCGAGUCUUAACCGGGCGUUAAGUUGCAGGGUAUAGACCCGAAACCCGGUGAUCUAGCCAUGGGCAGGUUGAAGGUUGGGUAACACUAACUGGAGGACCGAACCGACUAAUGUUGAAAAAUUAGCGGAUGACCUGUGGCUGGGGGGUGAAAGGCCAAUCAAACCGGGAGAUAGCUGGUUCUCCCCGAAAGCUAUUUAGGUAGCGCCUCGUGAAUUCAUCUCCGGGGGUAGAGCACUGUUUCGGCUAGGGGGCCAUCCCGGCUUACCAACCCGAUGCAAACUGCGAAUACC